rnacentral:rRNA from 1 species
UCUGCUUAGUAGUGGGGGAUAACUGCCCGAAAGGUAAGCUAAUACCGCAUACGUCCUACGGGAGAAAGCAGGGGACCUUCGGGCCUUGCGCUAUUGGAUGAGCCUAGGUCGGAUUAGUUAGUUGGUGAGGUAAAGGCUCACCAAGGCGACGAUCAAUAGCUGGUCUGAGAGGACGACCAGCCACACUGGAACUGAGACACGGUCCAGACUCCUACGGGAGGCAGCAGUGGGGAAUUUUGGACAAUGGGGGCAACCCUGAUCCAGCCAUGCCGCGUGCGGGAAGAAGGCCUUCGGGUUGUAAACCGCUUUUGUCAGGGACGAAAAGCUCCGGAGUAAUAUGCCGGAGUGCUGACGGUACCUGAAGAAUAAGCACCGGCUAAUUACGUGCCAGCAGCCGCGGUAAUACGUAGGGUGCAAGCGUUAAUCGGAAUUACUGGGCGUAAAGCGUGCGCAGGCGGUUGGGUAAGACAGAUGUGAAAUCCCCGGGCUUAACCUGGGAACUGCAUUUGUGACUGUCCGACUGGAGUACGUCAGAGGGGGGUGGAAUUCCACGUGUAGCAGUGAAAUGCGUAGAUAUGUGGAAGAACACCGAUGGCGAAGGCAGCCCCCUGGGACGCAACUGACGCUCAUGCACGAAAGCGUGGGGAGCAAACAGGAUUAGAUACCCUGGUAGUCCACGCCCUAAACGAUGUCUGCUG